rnacentral:rRNA from 1 species
CCCUUAUCCUUUGUUGCCAGCGGUCCGGCCGGGAACUCAAAGGAGACUGCCAGUGAUAAACUGGAGGAAGGUGGGGAUGACGUCAAGUCAUCAUGGCCCUUACGACCAGGGCUACACACGUGCUACAAUGGCGCAUACAAAGAGAAGCGACCUCGCGAGAGCAAGCGGACCUCAUAAAGUGCGUCGUAGUCCGGAUUGGAGUCUGCAACUCGACUCCAUGAAGUCGGAAUCGCUAGUAAUCGUGGAUCAGAAUGCCACGGUGAAUACGUUCCCGGGCCUUGUACACACCGCCCGUCACACCAUGGGAGUGGGUUGCAAAAGAAGUAGGUAGCUUAACCUUCGGGAGGGCGCUUACCACUUUGUGAUUCAUGACUGGGGUGAAGUCGUAACAAGGUAACCGUAGGGGAACCUGCGGUUGGAUCACCUCCUUA